rnacentral:rRNA from 1 species
GAUGAACGCUGGCGGCGUGCCUAAUACAUGCCAGUCGAGCGAACAGACGAGGAGCUUGCUCCUCUGACGUUAGCGGCGGACGGGUGAGUAACACGUGGAUAACCUACCUAUAAGACUGGGAUAACUUCGGGAAACCGGAGCUAAUACCGGAUAAUAUAUUGAACCGCAUGGUUCAAUAGUGAAAGACGGUUUUGCUGUCACUUAUAGAUGGAUCCGCGCCGCAUUAGCUAGUUGGUAAGGUAACGGCUUACCAAGGCGACGAUGCGUAGCCGACCUGAGAGGGUGAUCGGCCACACUGGAACUGAGACACGGUCCAGACUCCUACGGGAGGCAGCAGUAGGGAAUCUUCCGCAAUGGGCGAAAGCCUGACGGAGCAACGCCGCGUGAGUGAUGAAGGUCUUCGGAUCGUAAAACUCUGUAAUUAGGGAAGAACAAAUGUGUAAGUAACUAUGCACGUCUUGACGGUACCUAAUCAGAAAGCCACGGCUAACUACGUG